rnacentral:rRNA from 1 species
UACGAAGGGUGCAAGCGUUAAUCGGAAUUACUGGGCGUAAAGCGCGCGUAGGUGGUUCAGCAAGUUGGAUGUGAGAGCCCCGGGCUCAACCUGGGAACUGCAUCCAAAACUACUGAGCUAGAGUAUGGUAGAGGGUGGUGGAAUUUCCUGUGUAGCGGUGAAAUGCGUAGAUAUAGGAAGGAACACCAGUGGUGAAGGCGACCACCUGGACUGAUACUGACACUGAGGUGCGAAAGCGUGGGGAGCAAACAGG